rnacentral:rRNA from 1 species
UACGAAGGGGGCUAGCGUUGCUCGGAAUCACUGGGCGUAAAGCGCACGUAGGCGGGUCUUUAAGUCAGGGGUGAAAUCCUGGAGCUCAACUCCAGAACUGCCUUUGAUACUGGGGAUCUCGAGUCCGGGAGAGGUGAGUGGAACUGCGAGUGUAGAGGUGAAAUUCGUAGAUAUUCGCAAGAACACCAGUGGCGAAGGCGGCUCACUGGCCCGGUACUGACGCUGAGGUGCGAAAGCGUGGGGAGCAAACAGG